GUGGGGGCUGGGCACCGAAUCCUCGGCUCCAGAGGGGAGCCAAGCCUGCUACCAUAUCUUGCCUGCUUCCCAAAACAGUGGGGUGUCACUCCAGGACCUUGCUUCAGACAGGGGGUCCUAGUAACUUGAAUGGUGAUACAUAUUCCUCUGAAAGUGAGGCAGUGUGAAUUACUAUUAUUCUAGACAAUAACCCAGAAGACCGCCACCAUGAUCAUGCCAAGAUCUCCUGAUGCCAGCUUUGAUGACUAAGAGUCUCCCAAGAAGAAGAAUGCAUGUCUGCCCCAAUCCUGA